UUCCGGUUGAUCCUGCCGGAGGCGACCGCUUUGGGAGUUCGAUUAAGCCAUGCGAGUCGUGAGUCUUAGGGACUCGGCAUACUGCUCAGUAACACGUGGAUAACCUGCCCUAUCGUCUGGAAUAACCUCGGGAAACUGAGAAUAAGGCCGGAUAGUUCACAAUGCCUGGAACGGUUUGUGAAUCAAGGUAGGAUGGGUCUGCGGCGUAUCAGGUUGUAGGGGGUGUAAAGGACCCCCUAGCCUUCGACGCGUACGGGUGUUGGGAGACAUAGCCCGGAGAUGGAUUCUGAGACACGAAUCCAGACCCUACGGGGUGCAGCAGGCGCGAAAACUUCACACUGCAGGAAACUGUGAUGAGGGAACUCCUAGUGCAUGCACUAUGUGUAUGUAGAUCCUACUCUUAACAAGUAGAGGGAAAGGGCUGGGAAAGACCGGUGCCAGCCGCCGCGGUAAUACCGGCAGCUCAAGUGGUCGUCGCUUUUAUUGGGCCUAAAACGUCCGUAGCCUGUUUGGUAAAUCUGUGAGUAAAUCAAUCCGCUCAACGGAUUGAAUUCUGCAGAGACUGCCAGACUAGGGACCGGGAGAGGUGUGGGGUACUCGAGGGGUAGGGGUAAAAUCCUGUCAUCCUUCGAGGACCACCAGUUGCGAAGGCGCCACACUGGAACGGAUCCGACGGUCAGGGACGAAGCCUAGGGGCACGAACCGGAUUAGAUACCCGGGUAGUCCUAGGUGUAACGCUGUGAGCUUGGUGUCGGGGGUCCGCAAGGGGUCCCCGGUGCCGGAGUGAAGAUGUUAAGUUCACUGCCUGGGGAGUACGGUCGCAAGGCUGAAACUUAAAGGAAUUGGCGGGGC
rnacentral:rRNA from 1 species